rnacentral:misc_RNA from 1 species
GUACAUUCGUGCUUGCGCACAACAAGAGGUUUUUCAUUACAUUCGAGUCUGUGUGUAAAUCCUCUGCCAGCCGAGGCUAGCAAGAGGCCAAAGGUUCACAAGGGUGUUGGGAAUGAAAGUCACCAACGUGCACUUGCCGGAGCCAGCACAGAAGGUAACGAUUCACAGUCAAUAAUGAUCCUUCCGCAGGUUCACCUACGGAAA